AAAUAUCUCAAGCAAGCUUUUUGAUUCCAUUACAUUCAAAGGAGGCAAAAUAUGGAUGAAAGUUUGAAGUUUGUUUACACUAUGAUCCUUUUUCUUUCAUUAUUUUUUGUUGCAAUGAACGUUAAAUCUCUUGAUUGUCAUUCUGACCAUGAAUGCUAUAAUCAACUUAGUUGUAUCAUCGAGGAGAUAUGUUUGGAUGGUUCGUGUCAUUGCCCUCCAAUAUUGUAGGACAACAAUUGGGUGCCUUUGCUAGGUUUUAGUUUAGUCUCCUCAAGAUGUUUGUCCUCUAUUGUAAUUUUUAAUUCUAUUUUACUUUGAGGUGUUGCUUUAGGGGUUAGGGUAGGGGUGCAAACCCAUAUUUUGCAUGGAAAAUGUUACAUGAACACCCUUUAUUCCUACACCUCUAACCCACACCCAAACCCGUCCCAAAUGUAAAAAACUACUUUAUGUUGAUAUGUUAUGUUAUUUUGUUUGAUAA